UACGCAGGGGGCUAGCGUUGCUCGGAAUCACUGGGCGUAAAGCGCACGUAGGCGGCUUUUUAAGUCAGGGGUGAAAUCCUGGAGCUCAACUCCAGAACUGCCUUUGAUACUGAGAAGCUUGAGUCCGGGAGAGGUGAGUGGAACUGCGAGUGUAGAGGUGAAAUUCGUAGAUAUUCGCAAGAACACCAGUGGCGAAGGCGGCGCACUGGCCCGGUACUGACGCUGAGGUGCGAAAGCGUGGGGAGCAAACAGG
rnacentral:rRNA from 1 species